AACUACUCACGCAGUUGAUAGCUGCGUUUACCCAUAUAAAUCUUUCUCUGCAUAAUCUUUUUAUUAAUAGAUCCCCUUUGCCUUAUCCUUCUCGCGAAAACAAACUUUUUUCCAAUGCCUUGGAUAACUCCCAUAAUGGAUAAGUCUUUCAACAGCAAUAUAAAAAUUUUUCAAUGGAAUGCCAGAGGACUUGUUUUUAAGAAGGGUGAACUUCUUGAAGUUAUCAAUAACUACGAUAUAAUUACUAUCUCUGAGUCUUGGUUAAAUCCUAACUUUCAUUUUUUUAUUCCAGGAUUUACGAUUUAUAGAAGAGACUCAUCUCGCUAUAAGUCUAGCGGUCUAUGCCUCAUGAUCUGUAAUGACAUCCAAUCUGUUGUUGACAAUGAGAUCAAACACUAUGAAGGACUUUUAAACACUCUUGGUGUUUUUCUUUCAACCGCACAAGGAAGACGAAAUCUCAACCAGAUUACAAAGCGAUGACUUCGACACCUCUGAACAAAUUAACUAUCUCUCUACACAAUUUAUUGAGGCAGUCAAUUCAGCUAAUGAUCCAACUUUGAUGAAAACUCAGACUCUAAUCAGAUCUUCAAAAUGAUUUAUGGUGACUUAAUCAGAGGAAAAAACGUUUUUU